CUAUUCUUAUCACGGGUCCCUAUAUAAACCUAUGAGAUUAAAGACUUGUUACAUGCCACAACGAUCUCAAAAUGAUGGCUGCACGCAACACUGGGUUAUUUCUUGUUCUCGUGAUUAUUGCAUCAUGCCUUAAAGGUGGCGCUGCUGCUUCGACUACACAAUCAACCAAUACUACCACAGGUGGUGCUGCUGUUUCGACUGCAACGGCAGCUAGACCAUCAAGUUCAAGUAACAGAGCUUCCACUCCAACAACUUCCGUUAUCAAUACGCCAUCUACCGGGACCACUGGGAACAACACAGGAAGUGGGAGAGGAGGUGACGCAAGUGCCGCGUCUCCGAAUUUCUUUCUCAGUUUGUCAAUUGUGACUGGGGUAUAUAUUGUGAAGUGCGUCAGAGAAAAAUGGUGAUCAACCUUUUCCCGGCUUUGAUAAUUCAAUUUUGUUUUUCAUGUACAUAGAAUCCAUGAUGUGAAUUUUUACAGUAAAAUUAAUUUAUAGAAUA